UACGUAGGUGGCGAGCGUUGUCCGGAUUUAUUGGGCGUAAAGCGCGCGCAGGCGGUUCGUUAAGUCCGGUGUGAAAGCUCCCGGCUCAACUGGGAGAGGUCAUUGGAUACUGGCGGACUCGAGGGAGGCAGAGGAAGGUGGAAUUCCCGGUGUAGUGGUGAAAUGCGUAGAGAUCGGGAGGAACACCAGUGGCGAAGGCGGCCUUCUGGGCCUUUCCUGACGCUGAGGCGCGAAAGCGUGGGGAGCGAACCGGAUUAGAAACCCCCGUAGUCC
rnacentral:rRNA from 1 species